CGAGGGGCAUCAGUUUGGUUUGCUUGCAAACCAAAGCUGGCGACCGGCGCACGGGUGAGUAACACGUAUCCAACCUGCCUCAUACUCGGGGAUAGCCUUUCGAAAGAAAGAUUAAUAUCCGAUAGCAUAUAUUUCCCGCAUGGGUUUUAUAUUAAAGAAAUUCGGUAUGAGAUGGGGAUGCGUUCCAUUAGUUUGUUGGCGGGGUAACGGCCCACCAAGACUACGAUGGAUAGGGGUUCUGAGAGGAAGGUCCCCCACAUUGGAACUGAGACACGGUCCAAACUCCUACGGGAGGCAGCAGUGAGGAAUAUUGGUCAAUGGACGCGAGUCUGAACCAGCCAAGUAGCGUGAAGGAUGACUGCCCUAUGGGUUGUAAACUUCUUUUAUAUGGGAAUAAAGUGGUCCACGUGUGGAUUUUUGUAUGUACCAUAUGAAUAAGGAUCGGCUAACUCCGUGCCAGCAGCCGCGGUAAUACGGAGGAUCCGAGCGUUAUCCGGAUUUAUUGGGUUUAAAGGGAGCGUAGGCGGAUUGUUAAGUCAGUUGUGAAAGUUUGCGGCUCAACCGUAAAAUUGCAGUUGAUACUGGCAGUCUUGAGUGCAGUAGAGGUGGGCGGAAUUCGUGGUGUAGCGGUGAAAUGCUUAGAUAUCACGAAGAACUCCGAUUGCGAAGGCAGCUCACUGGAGUGUAACUGACGCUGAUGCUCGAAAGUG
rnacentral:rRNA from 1 species